rnacentral:rRNA from 1 species
GGGGGUAGAAUUCCAGGUGUAGCGGUGAAAUGCGUAGAGAUCUGGAGGAAUACCGGUGGCGAAGGCGGCCCCUGGACAAAGACUGACGCUCAGGUGCGAAAGCGUGGGGAGCAAACAGGAUUAGAUACCCUGGUAGUCCACGCCGUAAACGAUGUCGAUUUGGAGGUUGUGCCCUUGAGGCGUGGCUUCCGGAGCUAACGCGUUAAAUCGACCGCCUGGGGAGUACGGCCGCAAGGUUAAAACUCAAAUGAAUUGACGGGGGCCCGCACAAGCGGUGGAGCAU